AUUGAACGCUGGCGGCAUGCCUUACACAUGCAAGUCGAACGGCAGCAUGGAGAGCUUGCUCUCUGAUGGCGAGUGGCGAACGGGUGAGUAAUGCAUCGGAACGUACCGUGUAAUGGGGGAUAACGUAGCGAAAGUUACGCUAAUACCGCAUACGACCUGAGGGUGAAAGCAGGGGAUCGCAAGACCUUGCGUUAUACGAGCGGCCGAUUUCAGAUUAGCGAGUUGGGGAUGUAAAGGCUCACCAAGGCGCCGAGCUGGCGAGGGUCUGAGAGGAUGAUCCGCCACACGGGGACUGAGACACGGCCCAGACUCCUACGGGAGGCAGCAGUGGGGAAUGUUGGACAAUGGGGGCAACCCUGAUCCAGCCAUGCCGCGUGAGUGAAGAAGGCCUUCGGGUUGUAAAGCUCUUUCGGCCGGGAAGAAAUCGCACAGGCUAAUACUCAGUGUGGAUGACGGUACCGGCAUAAGAAGCACCGGCUAACUACGUGCCAGCCGCCGCCGUAA
rnacentral:rRNA from 1 species